rnacentral:rRNA from 1 species
GACGAACGCUGGCGGCGUGCUUAACGCAUGCAAGUCGAACGGGAAGGCCCUGGGUAAGUGGGGUGCACGAGUGGCGAACGGGGGAGUAAGACGUGGGUAACCUACCCUGAUCUUUGGGAUAACUGCAGGAAAGGGGGGGUAAUACCGGAUAGGAGGGCCGGCUGCCAGGGGUGGGUUGGAAAAGUCCGGCGGCGGGGGAUGGACUCGCGUCUUGUCAGCGUCGUGGUGGGGUAGUGUCGGACCAAGGCUGUGACGGGUAGUCGGCCUGUGCGGGUGACGGGCCACAUGGGGUCUGAGAUACGGCCCAGGCUCCUACGGGACGGCGCAGUGGGGAAUACUGCACUAUGCGCGGAACCGUAAUGCAGCAACGCCGCGUGCGGUAUGACCGCUUACGGUUUGUAGACCGCUUUAGGCUGUACCGAAGCGUGAGUGGCGGUAACGGGUAAAGAAGCACCGGCUAAGUACGUG